CCUACGGGUGGCAGCAGUGAGGAAUAUUGGUCAAUGGACGCGAGUCUGAACCAGCCAAGUAGCGUGAAGGAUGACUGCCCUAUGGGUUGUAAACUUCUUUUAUAUGGGAAUAAAAUGUUCCACGUGUGGGUUUUUGUAUGUAUCAUAUGAGUAAGGAUCGGCUAACUCCGUGCCAGCAGCCGCGGUAAUACGGAGGAUCCGAGCGUUAUCCGGAUUUAUUGGGUUUAAAGGGAGCGUAGGUGGAUUGUUAAGUCAGUUGUGAAAGUUUGCGGCUCAACCGUAGAAUUGCAGUUGAAACUGGCAGUCUUGAGUACAGUAGGGGUGGGCGGAAUUCGUGGUGUAGCGGUGAAAUGCUUAGAUAUCACGAAGAACUCCGAUUGCGAAGGCAGCUCACUGGACUGCAACUGACACUGAGGCUCGAAAGUGUGGGUAUCAAACAGGAUUAGAUACCCCAGUAGUC
rnacentral:rRNA from 1 species